rnacentral:tmRNA from 1 species
GGGGGCGACACGGCUUCGACGUGUCUGGGGAACGUGGAGCAGCGUGUCGAGGUCCCGGAACCUCGUAAAUCCACCGGGAAAUUCUUAAUUGCCAACUCUAACCUGGCACUGGCCGCCUAAGGUUUUCGAACCUUAGAGCAGGCCCGUUUCUAGAGCAGCCCGCCUGAGGCGGCUCCUGAGACGUCGCAAAUUCGGGCUGGUCUUUCGGUCGUGCUGUCCGACCGGGGGCGAGACUUUAGACAGCUGGUCCCGAAGAGGGCUGAUCGCCGGCCGCCGAGGGACGAGACCAAACGGCGAUCUACGCACGUAGGCGCUCUGCCGGAUCCAGUCGCGGACGCGGGUUCGACUCCCGCCGCCUCCAC